rnacentral:rRNA from 1 species
GACGUAGGGGGCCAGCGUUGUUCGGAAUUACUGGGUGUAAAGGGUUCGUAGGCGGUGUGGCAAGUCGGGAGUGAAAUCUCUGGGCUCAACUCAGAGACUGCUUCCGAAACUGCUGUGCUGGAGUGUGGGAGAGGCGCGUGGAAUUGCAGGUGUAGCGGUGAAAUGCGUAGAUAUCUGGAGGAACACCGGUGGCGAAGGCGACAUCCUGGACCGGUAUUGACGCUGAGGCGCGAAAGCCAGGGGAGCAAAGCGGG